rnacentral:tRNA from 2 species
UGCGGGGUGGAGAAGUGGUAUCUCGCCGGGCUCAUAACCCGGAGGUCGGUGGUUCGAUCCCAUCCCCCGCAA